rnacentral:rRNA from 1 species
AUUGAACGCUGGCGGCAGGCCUAACACAUGCAAGUCGAGCGGAUGAAGGGAGCUUGCUCCUGGAUUCAGCGGCGGACGGGUGAGUAAUGCCUAGGAAUCUGCCUGGUAGUGGGGGAUAACGUCCGGAAACGGGCGCUAAUACCGCAUACGUCCUGAGGGAGAAAGUGGGGAACUUCGGGACCCACGCUAUUCGAUGAACCUAGGUCGGAUUAGCUAGUUGGUGGGGUAAAGGCCUACCAAGGCGACGAUCCGUAACUGGUCUGAGAGGAUGAUCAGUCACACUGGAACUGAGACACGGUCCAGACUCCUACGGGAGGCAGCAGUGGGGAAUAUUGGACAAUGGGCGAAAGCCUGAUCCAGCCAUGCCGCGUGUGUGAAGAAGGUCUUCGGAUUGUAAAGCACUUUAAGUUGGGAGGAAGGGCAGUAAGUUAAUACCUUGCUGUUUUGACGUUACCAACAGAAUAAGCACCGGCUAACUUCGUG